CACGUAGGGCGCAAGCGUUGUCCGGAAUCAUUGGGCGUAAAGCGCGCGUAGGUGGCCAUUUAAGUCCGCUGUGAAAGUCAAAGGCUCAACCGUUGAAAGCCGGUGGAUACUGGAUGGCUAGAGUACGGAAGAGGCGAGUGGAAUUCCUGGUGUAGCGGUGGAAUGCGCAGAUAUCAGGAGGAACACCAAUAGCGAAGGCAGCUCGCUGGGACGUUACUGACACUGAGGCGCGAAAGCGUGGGGAGCGAACAGG
rnacentral:rRNA from 1 species